UUCCGGUUGAUCCCGCCGGACCCCACUGCUAUCGGGAUAGGACUAAGACAUGCUAGUCGUGUGCCUCAGCCAAAACGAGGCACGGCGCACAGCUCAGUAACACGUGGCUAACCUGCCCUUAGGACGAGAAUAACCCCGGGAAACUGGGGCUAAUGCUCGAUAGGUGAAGAACUCUGGAAUGAGUCUUCACUUAAAAGAGUCUGCGUUAUGCUCGUAGAUUUCGCUUAAGGAUGGGGCCGCGACCGAUCAGGUUGUUGGUGAGGUAAUGGCUCACCAAGCCUUUUACCGGUGCGGGCCGUGAGAGCGGGAGCCCGGAGAUGGGCACUGAGACAAGGGCCCAGGCCCUACGGGGCGCAGCAGUCGCGAAAACUUUGCAAUACACGAAAGUGUGACAGGGCUAUCCCGAGUGCCAUCCGCUGAGGAAGGCUUUUACCCAGUCUAGAACGCUGGGGGAAUAAGGAGAGGGCAAGUCUGGUGUCAGCCGCCGCGGUAAUACCAGCUCUCCGAGUGGUGUGGAUGUUUAUUGGGCCUAAAGCAUCCGUAGCUGGCUAAGUUAGUCCCUGUUAAUCCAACGAAUUAAUCGUUGGAUCGCGGGGGAUACUGCUUGGCUAGGGGACAGAGAGGCAGACGGUAUUU
rnacentral:rRNA from 1 species